GAUAGCUCUUGAUUUGCCUGUGGGAAAAUGAUUUAAUUAACAACAAAAUAACUAUAAUUUUCCAGAAAAAGAAAGGACACCCGAAAACUUUAGAAAAUUUAACCGCACGUUGCAACGUGCGGUUAAAUUUUCGGGAGAGAAACUCACUGUUUUCUUUGAUAUCUGGUUUUGUGUAAUCGCUUUAGGCGAUGGCUUCAAAUAAGUUAUAAGAUUCGGGGACUAGCUCGGACCACAAUAAUCCAACUUUUUAACUAAUUAAAGAGCCUGUAGGAUUGAAAGUUUCCACCUGUUAAAUUAUUAAAAAUAAGUAGUGGAACUACUUAUUUUUAAUAAUUUGGAUUUUAACAACAUAAAACUAGUUUUAUGUUGUUAACCUAUUAAAAUUAGUAAAUUUAUUAUAUUUUAUGAUCAAACUCAAUCAAUAACGAACUGUUUAUCAAAAACAUUUUUCUAAUUUUUUAGAAUAACUUCUGCUCAAUGAUAUUAAAUAGCUGCUUAAGCACGAAGGUAGCAUAAUCAUUUGCCCCCUAAUUAGGGGCUUGUAUGAAGGGAGUUUUUGUUAUUUUUCUUGGUAUAAAAUAAUAUUAAAAUUAGAAUAAUAGUGAAAAUCCUAUUAUAAAUCAAAAAGAUGAAAAGACCCCGUAGAGCUUACUAAAUUAUUAACUAGACAUCAGUUACUGAUGUCUAGUUAAUAAUUUAGUUGGUUGGGGCGACCCGCUAAUAUAACCAAGCUAUUUUAAAAAUAUUGAAUUAGAUCCUAAAAGAUUGAGGAUUAGCUACCUCGGGGAUAAUAGCAUAAUUCGCUGUCCAAGUUCUUAUUGGACAGCGAGGUUUUGACUUCGAUGUUGGAUCAAGUUAAGCCUCCAGAAGUAUGGAGCAAUCUGCAAUGUCUGUUCGACAUAAGUGACUUACGUGAUCUGAGUUCAGACCGG
rnacentral:rRNA from 1 species